GGGUGUUUCGCGCCAAGCGGUGCUUUGUCGGUUCUCUUGUUGGCUUGGAUUGCUUCAUAGAGUGAUUUUCUCUCUGUGGGGUGGUCUAUUGUUGAUUUGAGGGUUGAUAAUGCAAUACGUGUAGGCGCAUGAGUGGUGUUUUGCUUGUGUUGGUUGGUUGGAUCCUUGCUCUGGCAACGACGUCCAUUCUCACAAGCAUCUUCAGUCAUGUCUCUAGAUACAUGCUAUCUCGAGUUCUGUAUUGGUUUCUUGUGUUGUGUACCUUAUGCRAUGGCAAUCUAUAGUCUAAAUGUUACAUUUCGCCUUUUUACUCGUCCCUUUUUGGGUUGAUGUAAGGUGAACCACGAAGUAAUCUCUGUGUCCCACUCUUCUCACAUUGAUUUGUGCUUGUAGUGUGGUGCAUAGGGCAUUUGCUUGAUCUCUUGGAUGCGGUGCAUUAYAUAUGGGCAUGAGGUCUCACGUCCUCUUUCUGCCCGAACAAAAGCUUUCAUCGCUUAGUUGCGAACGAUUGCGAUCCCCGUUUCGAGCCUUUUGGCAAGUACGGUGAUGGCUUCGUUGAGGAAUGC
rnacentral:misc_RNA from 1 species